rnacentral:rRNA from 1 species
AACGAACGCUGGCGGCGCGCCUAACACAUGCAAGUCGAGCGCUCCACUUUCGGGUGGGGAGCGGCGCACGGGUGAGUAACGCGUGGGAACCUGCCCUGGGGUUCGGGACAACGGCUGGAA